rnacentral:rRNA from 1 species
GUAAAGAAUCUUCCGCAAUGGGCGAAAGCCUGACGGAGCAACACUGCGUGGUGGAUGAAGGCCUUCGGGUCGUAAACACCUUUUCUGGGGGAAGAAGUUCUGACGGUACCCCAGGAAUAAGCGACGGCUAAUUACGUGCCAGCAGCCGCGGUAAUACGUAAGUCGCAAGCGUUAUCCGGAAUUAUUGGGCGUAAAGCGUCCGUAGGCGUCUUGAUUAGUCUGAUGUUAAAUCUUGGAGCUCAACUCCAAGUUCGUAUCGGAAACUAUCGGGAUUGAGUAGUGCAGGGGCAGAUGGAAUUCCAGAAGUAGGGGUAAAAUCCGUAGAUCUCUGGAGGAACACCAAACGCGAAGGCAUUCUGCUGGGCACUCACUGACGCUCAUGGACGAAAGCGUGGGUAGCAAACGGGAUUAGAAACCCGGGUAGUCC